rnacentral:rRNA from 1 species
UUGAACGCUGGCGGCAGGCCUAACACAUGCAAGUCGAACGGUAACAGGAAGAAGCUUGCUUCUUUGCUGACGAGUGGCGGACGGGUGAGUAAUGUCUGGGAAACUGCCUGAUGGAGGGGGAUAACUACUGGAAACGGUAGCUAAUACCGCAUAACGUCGCAAGACCAAAGAGGGGGACCUUCGGGCCUCUUGCCAUCGGAUGUGCCCAGAUGGGAUUAGCUAGUAGGUGGGGUAACGGCUCACCUAGGCGACGAUCCCUAGCUGGUCUGAGAGGAUGACCAGCCACACUGGAACUGAGACACGGUCCAGACUCCUACGGGAGGCAGCAGUGGGGAAUAUUGCACAAUGGGCGCAAGCCUGAUGCAGCCAUGCCGCGUGUAUGAAGAAGGCCUUCGGGUUGUAAAGUACUUUCAGCGGGGAGGAAGGGAGUAAAGUUAAUACCUUUGCUCAUUGACGUUACCCGCAGAAGAAGCACCGGCUAACUCCGUA